CACACUGCACUGAAAUAUUGGUUCCUAUAUAAACACUGAAGUUAAGCAAUGUCUAUCCUGGUCAGUACCUAGAUGGGUGACCACUUGGGAAUACCAGGUGCUGUCA